UACGAAGGGGGCUAGCGUUGUUCGGAAUCACUGGGCGUAAAGGGCGCGUAGGCGGCCGGUCAAGUCGGGGGUGAAAGCCUGUGGCUCAACCACAGAAUGGCCUUCGAUACUGGACGGCUCGAGACCGGAAGAGGUGAGUGGAACUGCGAGUGUAGAGGUGAAAUUCGUAGAUAUUGGGAAGAACACCGGUGGCGAAGGCGGCUCACUGGCUCGUAACUGACGCUCAUGCACGACAGCGUGGGGAUCAAACAGG
rnacentral:rRNA from 1 species